CGGAGAGUUUGAUCCUGGCUCAGGAUGAACGCUGGCGGCAGGCUUAAUACAUGCAAGUCGAACGGUAAGGCCGACGGUAGCAAUACUGGAGGCACACGAGUGGCGCACGGGUGCGUAACGCGUAUGCAACCUGCCCCCGACCGGGACAAAACGCUGAGAAAUCGGCGCUAAUAUCCCAUGCUGACCAAGGGCGGCAUCGCCCGUGGUCGAAAGAUUGAUUGGUCGGGGAUGGGCAUGCGUGGCAUUAGCUUGUUGGCGGGGUAACGGCCCACCAAGGCGACGAUGCCUAGGGGUUCUGAGAGGAAGGUCCCCCACACUGGAACUGAGACACGGUCCAGACUCCUACGGGAGGCAGCAGUAGGGAAUAUUGGGCAAUGGGAGCAAUCCUGACCCAGCCAUGCCGCGUGAAGGAAGACGGCCCUACGGGUUGUAAACUUCUUUUGCCAGAGAGUAACCGCCGCGACGCGUCGCGGCCUGAGAGUAUCUGGCGAAUAAGCACCGGCUAACUCCGUGCCAGCAGCCGCGGUAGUACGGAGGGUGCAAGCGUUAUCCGGAUUCAUUGGGUUUAAAGGGUGCGCAGGCGGACGGCCAAGUCGUGGGUGAAAUCCCGCCGCUCAACGGUGGACAGUCCUACGAUACUGGUCGACUGGAGUUCUGGUGGCGCGGCCGGAAUGUGACGUGUAGCGGUGAAAUGCAUAGAUAUGUCACAGAACGCCGAUCGUGAAGACAGGCCGCGAACCGGAGACUGACGCUCAGGCACGAAAGCGUGGGUAUCAAACAGGAUUAGAUACCCUGGUAGUCCACGCUGUAAACGAUGACCACUCGUUCCCGGGGGGCGACUCUCGGGGGCCAAGCGAAAGCGAUAAGUGGUCCACCUGGGGAGUACGAUCGCAAGGUUGAAACUCAAAGGAAUUGACGGGGGCCCGCACAAGCGGAGGAGCAUGUGGUUUAAUUCGAUGAUACGCGAGGAACCUUACCCGGGCUUGAACGUGCGACGGCGAUGCAGGAGACUGCAUUUCCCUCCGGGGCGUCGUGCGAGGUGCUGCAUGGUUGUCGUCAGCUCGUGCCGUGAGGUGUUAGGUUAAGUCCUGCAACGAGCGCAACCCCUGCGCGCAGUUGCCAUCAGGUUAUGCUGGGCACUCUGCGCGGACUGCCCGCGCAAGCGGAGAGGAAGGCGGGGAUGACGUCAAAUCAGCACGGCCCUUAUGUCCGGGGCUACACACGUGCUACAAUGGCCGGCACAGAGGGGAGCCACCCAGCGAUGGGGAGCGGAUCCCGAAAGCCGGUCCCAGUUCGGAUCGGAGUCUGCAACCCGACUCCGUGAAGUUGGAUUCGCUAGUAAUCGCGCAUCAGCCAUGGCGCGGUGAAUACGUUCCCGGGCCUUGUACACACCGCCCGUCAAGCCAUGGAAGCCGGUGGUACCUGAAGUCCGUGCCCGCGAGGAGCGGCCUAGGGUAAAACUGGUAACUGGGGCUAAGUCGUAACAAGGUAGCCGUA
rnacentral:rRNA from 1 species